CUACGUGCCAGCAGCCGCGGUAAUACGUAGGUCCCGAGCGUUGUCCGGAUUUAUUGGGCGUAAAGCGAGCGCAGGCGGUUAGAUAAGUCUGAAGUUAAAGGCUGUGGCUUAACCAUAGUACGCUUUGGAAACUGUUUAACUUGAGUGCAAGAGGGGAGAGUGGAAUUCCAUGUGUAGCGGUGAAAUGCGUAGAUAUAUGGAGGAACACCGGUGGCGAAAGCGGCUCUCUGGCUUGUAACUGACGCUGAGGCUCGAAAGCGUGGGGAGCAAACAGGAUUAGAUACCCUGGUAGUCCACGCCGUAAACGAUGAGUGCUAGGUGUUAGACCCUUUCCGGGGUUUAGUGCCGUAGCUAACGCAUUAAGCACUCCGCCUGGGGAGUACGACCGCAAGGUUGAAACUCAAAGGAAUUGACGGGGGCCCGCACAAGCGGUGGAGCAUGUGGUUUAAUUCGACGCAACGCGAGGAACCUUACCAGCGUUUGACAUC
rnacentral:rRNA from 1 species